rnacentral:tRNA from 5 species
GCGCCCAUGGCGAAAUUGGUAGACGCAAGGGACUUAAAAUCCCUCGACUUCGGUUGUGCCGGUUCGACCCCGGCUGGGCGCACCA